rnacentral:rRNA from 1 species
AUGGCUUCCUCCACUGCUCUCUCCCCGGUGGCCUUCAAGUCCUCCUUCUCGCCGCUCCCCUCCAGACCAGCUCGUACUAGCAUAAAUGUACAAGGCGCAUUCUGUUUGCCAUGUUCCACUUGGAAAAGAGCUAAUAAUAGAUCGUUCCGGGUAUACAGUUUAUUUGGAGGAAAGAAGGAGAAAGAUGAGAAUGGUGACGAGGCACCAUCAAAGGGAGGAAUCUUUGGAAACAUUGGAAAUAUGCAAAACCUUUAUGAAACUGUGAAGAAGGCCCAAAUGGUUGUCCAAGUGGAGGCUGUGCGGGUGCAAAAGGAGCUUGCAGCGACUGAGAUUGAGGGUUAUUGUGAAGGCGAACUAAUCAAGGUUACACUAUCUGGGAACCAACAACCUAUAAAUGUUGAAAUAACGGAAGCUGCAAUGGAGUUGGGCGCUGAAAAAGUCUCCGAGCUGGUCAAUGAAGCCUACAAGGAUGCACACCAGAGGAGCGUUCAGGCCAUGAAGGAAAGGAUGGCUGAUCUAGCGCAGAGCAUAGGAAUGCCUGCAGGGCUCGGCGACGGUCUCAAGUGA